rnacentral:rRNA from 1 species
UACGGAGGGUGCAAGCGUUGUUCGGAAUCACUGGGCGUAAAGGGCGUGUAGGCGGUCUGUUAAGUCUGGUGUGAAAUCCCUCCGCUCAACGGAGGAACGGCGCCGGAAACUGGCAGACUUGAGUACCGGCGAGGAAGGUGGAAUUCCCGGUGUAGAGGUGAAAUGCGUAGAUAUUGGGAGGAACACCGGUGGCGAAGGCGGUCCUCUGGAUCGAUACUGACGCUGAGACGCGAAAGCGUGGGGAGCAAACAGG